AAGCCUGUCCCAGUUCGGACUGGAGUCUNCAACCCGACUCCACGAAGUUGGAUUCGCUAGUAAUCGCGCAUCAGCCAUGGCGCGGUGAAUACGUUCCCGGGCCUUGUACACACCGCCCGUCAAGCCAUGGGAGCCGGGGGCGCCUGAAGUCCGGGACCGCGAGGACCGGCCUAGGGCGAAACUGGUAACUGGGGCUAAGUCGUAACAAGGUAGC
rnacentral:rRNA from 1 species